AUGCAGUUCUGGUCUCUCGAGGGCGCGGAGGAGGCGUUCGGCGACUUUGGCCGCAUCGAGCGCCUCGACAGCAGAACGAUGGAGCGGGGCCACACGAAGACCUUCGCUUGCUGGCUCUGGACCUGGGAUGUCGCGCACAUUCCGACAAAGCGUGCUCUCUGGGUCCUCAAGCGGGGGGCGGGCCGCGUCGACGAGAUCCUCGGCUACUCCCCGCCGGACCGCCGCAUCCCGCCUCCGCCGGGUGUGCGCCGCUACGACCUGCUGCUGCAUGUGGACCAUGUGGAGGACUGG
rnacentral:rRNA from 1 species